CACGUAGGGGGCAAGCGUUGUCCGGAAUUAUUGGGCGUAAAGAGCUCGUAGGCGGCUCGGUAAGUCAGGUGUCAAAUCCUCAGGCUCAACCUGGGGCUCCACCUGAUACUGCUGUGGCUAGAGUCCGGUAGGGGAGCGUGGAAUUCCUGGUGUAGCGGUGAAAUGCGCAGAUAUCAGGAGGAACACCAGCGGCGAAGGCGGCGCUCUGGGCCGGAUGACGUCUGAGGAGCGAAAGCGUGGGUAGCAAACAGG
rnacentral:rRNA from 1 species